rnacentral:lncRNA from 1 species
UGGUCGUAGUCGAGAAGCACGUAUUUGGAGAUUUAUACUGUAGAUCUGCAUAUAAAGAAUGAAAGAACUUGUCAGAUCGACUCUAGUUGGGCCCUCCAUUUUCUAUGUUAGGUCGGGCUUCCGAAUAAUAAUAAAGAGAAUAAUAGGUGGUUAGAGUCGUAUUACCCUGUUUCAAUUAAUUUGCAUCUUAAUCGGCUCUCUCAGGUUGGCGUUCUCAAGUUAAUCUUUUUAUUUUGGCCUUUAGGAGUUGAGCUUU